rnacentral:rRNA from 1 species
AGAGUUCGAUUCUGGCUCAGGAUGAACGCUAGCUACAGGCUUAACACAUGCAAGUCGAGGGGCAUCAGGAAGAAAGCUUGCUUUCUUUGCUGGCGACCGGCGCACGGGUGAGUAACACGUAUCCAACCUGCCGAUGACUCGGGGAUAGCCUUUCGAAAGAAAGAUUAAUAUCCGAUAGCAUAUAUUUCCCGCAUGGGUUUUAUAUUAAAGAAAUUCGGUAUGAGAUGGGGAUGCGUUCCAUUAGUUUGUUGGCGGGGUAACGGCCCACCAAGACUACGAUGGAUAGGGGUUCUGAGAGGAAGGUCCCCCACAUUGGAACUGAGACACGGUCCAA